CACUGAGGUGGAGAGAACAUAUGUUUAACACAGUAUCGGGCUGCCUGUGGAAUGGAGCUCACAGCAUCCGAGCAAAGAAACCAGACAAGAGUAGACCAGGGGAUCAGCCAGAACAUUCUUUGAUCUGUUUCAUUGGGGAGGAGAAUCCAUGGUUCCCUAAAAGCCACCAAAGCCACACUGAGGAAUGUGAUGGAGUCAUAGAAGCCCAACUGAUUUUCAAAGGAUGUGGCCAAUGAUCCCUGAUCGUCUUUUACCAGACUGGAGAAGUAAAAGACCAGUUUCCUUAAGAACAACUUGGAGAAGUGAGGUUACUUGAAAAAAACAUAUAAUACAUCCUAUGAAAAUGGUAAAUAUUUCCAGAAUCCCUUUGGCUUAAUUUCUAUUCUCUAGAAAACUCCACAAUAUGUGU